UUUCAGUUCAAGAUGUGACCAUUUUGCUACUACAUCUGUCCCCACCAUGAUGUGCCAACGUUUAGCUUGAAAGAGGCACUUUCAUGGUCUCACAGUGCAAGUGUAUGCAGCCAUAAGGACUGUCAGGACCAUCUCAUCUUCAACACUGGAACAAUGACUACUUAUUCCCUUGACGUUUGUCAUAGACAUAUGCGUCGUCGUCGAGAGCAAAUCUCCAGGAACGUUGGGUUCAAAUCUUAGACUUCACAUACCAUAUGGUGAAAGAAGACCUGCUGAAUCUCUCCAGCUUUAUUUUGUUCAAGUGUAACUGAGACAAUAGCAAAUAUGUACUGCUUAUCUAAUGAAAUUUUAGCUAUGAGUUUACUUCCAACCAUAGAAGCCAAUAAAGGAAGAGGCCAAAUAGAAAGAUUUCCAAUGGGAAAAGCAGAGAUGGGCCUUGAAGUAAAAGUA